UACGGAGGGUGCGAGCGUUGUCCGGAAUCAUUGGGCGUAAAGGGCGCGUAGGUGGCCCGGUCAGUCGAUGGUGAAAGCGCGGGGCUCAACUCCGCGUCGGCCGUCGAUACUGCUGGGCUUGAGCACUGUAGAGGGCAGGCGGAAUUCCGGGUGUAGCGGUGGAAUGCGUAGAGAGCCGGAAGAACACCGGUGCGAAGGCGGCCUGCUGGGCAGUGGCUGACACUGGAGGCGCGACA
rnacentral:rRNA from 1 species